GCGGCCUGCGCACACACCCAUCCUGGGCCCGCGCCCCGGGCCUGCCCUGGAGCGCCCCGCGCUUCAGACUCACCCACGUGUGCGGCGGCGGCGGCGACUGCGUGGCCCCGGCGCGGCCCCGCACCCGGGCGGUGGAGAGAAAGGGCUGUCAGUUGGCCGCGGCGGCCAGCGUGCGAGGGACCGGAUGCCCAAGCCGGGCGGAUUUGGAAAAGGAUAGCUGGUAAUCGUGGCUUGUUUUGCUUUGUUUUCUUUUCCAGCAACGAAGGUUUUGGGAACAGUAAAAUGGUUCAAUGUAAGGAACGGAUAUGGUUUCAUCAACAGGAAUGACACCAAGGAAGAUGUAUUUGUACACCAGACUGCCAUAAAGAAGAAUAACCCCAGGAAGUACCUUCGCAGUGUAGGAGAUGGAGAGACUGUGGAGUUUGAUGUUGUUGAAGGAGAAAAGGGUGCGGAGGCAGCAAAUGUUACAGGUCCUGGUGGUGUUCCAGUUCAAGGCAGUAAAUAUGCAGCAGACCGUAACCAUUAUAGACGCUAUCCACGUCGUAGGGGUCCUCCACGCAAUUACCAGCAAAAUUACCAGAAUAGUGAGAGUGGGGAAAAGAACGAGGGAUCGGAGAGUGCUCCCGAAGGCCAGGCCCAACAACGCCGGCCCUACCGCAGGCGAAGGUUCCCACCUUACUACAUGCGGAGACCCUAUGGGCGUCGACCACAGUAUUCCAACCCUCCUGUGCAGGGAGAAGUGAUGGAGGGUGCUGACAACCAGGGUGCAGGAGAACAAGG
rnacentral:sRNA from 1 species